UACGGAGGGUGCGAGCGUUGUCCGGAAUCAUUGGGCGUAAAGCGCGUGUAGGCGGUCCGGUAAGUCCGCUGUGAAAGUCGAGGGCUCAACCCUCGAAUGCCGGUGGAUACUGUCGGGCUAGAGUGCGGAAGAGGCGAGUGGAAUUCCUGGUGUAGCGGUGAAAUGCGCAGAUAUCAGGAGGAACACCUAUUGCGAAGGCAGCUCGCUGGGACGUUACUGACGCUGAGACGCGAAAGCGUGGGGAGCAAACAGG
rnacentral:rRNA from 1 species